CUCAUCCGCUGAGCUGGCCGAAAGAAGCAAGCAAAGAGUCUUACUCUAAAGAAAAAGCCUAUUCCUAUUCUAGAAAUCCUGCAAACUCUUAAUCGAAGUACUUAGCACUCACCGCGGAAAUUGGCGGAAAUUAAUUGGCGCUGCAUCUAUCCCAAUGAAUUUUUAGCUUUUCCUUAGCCCUCUUCUUUAGCACUGGCUUACUCACAGGAAGCUGGCCUAGCAGAUGACUCUUAGUUAGACUGGUACUAGUUAGGAUAUCACAUAAGGGGAAUCCCAUUCUAGGAGUUCUCCAAAGCCCUAUCCCAUAUAAAAGAGAAAAGCUAUAUUAACGCUCUAGCCCAAGAAUAGAUCUUAUGAAAAGAAAAGAACGAUCGUCAGCGGAGAUCGCAAUACGAAGUUUUUUAGACAUAAUCCCCGGCAUCAGAGAAUUCCAGGGAUUUUCUCUAUUUAAAGUAGGAGAUAGCCGGGUAUUCCCACAGAGAAGUCUUGCUCUGGCUUGCCCAAAGCGUUGAACAUAGAGAAUUAAGGUUGUCUUACAUACACACUGGUGGAAUUUCAUUUUCUUCCGCUUUUUAAAAUAGUAAGAGGGGAAUUGAGUAAAAUAUCCUUGUCCGUAGUUCCAGCGGAUUCUCUUUUGUCUUGCAAACCCCUUAUUCUGUACUCCCCUAUUCUUGAAAAGACCGCUAUGCACCUUGACUUUUGGCUUUUCGUUCUUUCUGCUGCAGCUGUUUAGCUAUAUUCG
rnacentral:lncRNA from 1 species